rnacentral:misc_RNA from 1 species
GGAGGUAUGAGCCGAUGAAGGAGCUGGGCUCCGGCAACUUCGGGGUGGCGAGGUUGGUGAGGGACAAGACUACCAAGGAGCUGUUGGCUGUCAAGUAUAUUGAGAGGGGGAAGAAGAUUGACGAGAAUGUGCAGAGAGAAAUUAUUAAUCACCGAGCUCUGAGGCAUCCCAACAUUGUUCGGUUUAAAGAGGUCUUGCUUACACCAACUCACCUCGCAAUCGUCAUGGAAUAUGCUGCUGGAGGUGAGCUAUUUGAGAAAAUAUGCAGUGCUGGCCGGUUUAGCGAGGAUGAGGCGAGAUUUUUCUUUCAGCAGUUAAUAUCAGGAGUCAGUUACUGCCAUUCCGUGGAGAUCUGUCACCGUGAUCUUAAACUGGAGAACACACUCUUAGAUGGAAGUCCAACACCACGCCUUAAAAUAUGUGACUUCGGCUAUUCGAAGUCUGGUUUAUUGCAUUCACAACCCAAAUCGACAGUAGGUACCCCUGCAUACAUAGCCCCAGAGGUUCUUUCCCGAAAGGAGUAUGAUGGCAAGAUUGCAGAUGUUUGGUCCUGUGGUGUCACAUUGUAUGUGAUGUUGGUGGGAUCAUACCCAUUCGAGGACUCAGAGGACCCCAGAAACUUCAGAAAGACAAUUGGUAGAAUUCUGAAUGUUCAAUACUGCUUUCCGGAUUACGUUCGUGUGUCUGCCGAGUGCAGACAGAUUCUGUCACAAAUCUUUGUAGCCAACCCGGCAAAGAGGAUCACAAUACCGGAAAUAAGAAAGCAACCCUGGUUUCUGAAGAACCUUCCUAGUGAUCUGGUGGAGGGCGAGAAAACAAACUAUGCAGCUGACGAGCUCAACAAGCCUUCCCAGAGCGUCGAAGAAAUAAUGCGGAUUAUACAGGAGGCGAAGACGCCAGCAGAGGGUUCUCAGACUGUCGACAGAUCAGCG